UGUGUUGAACCUAUACUUAUCGCAACUGCCACAAGUUUUUAAAUUCCGAUCAAAUAUUUUCAAGCUUCCGAUACAACUUUUAUUCAGUGAUCAUGUGUCAACUUUCACCCGGAAAUCAUAAAUAAUAAGUAGGAAGCUCCAAAACGACUAAAUAAUUUUAUCAGUACGCAACGUCUUUAAGUUUAUUCUUAUUUGUAUACUGAUAAUCAUAUUAUAUAUGAUGUUACGUAAGAACAGUGAAUGGUUGGUGGUGUAUAGUUACAAUCGUAUGGUGAUGCAUUUGAUGAGGACACACUGAGUAUAUAAUGAAAAAAUGUAUUAAUCCAAAUCCGUAUGAUUCUGAAACAUUAAUAGUUUUGAAUAAUUUUUUGGCACAUUUACGUGCGAAAACAAAAGAACUAAACUUUUUCUCGUGAAGAAUCUACACCUAAAUAAGAGGCUCCGAUAAGAUCAAGUGCUUAUUUGUUAUCAUCAAAGUGGAGAGUUUAAUUGAAAACUAGAAUAAUACACUGUUACUUUUAAUCAAAUUUUACUCGAUGUACCAGACGUCUCUUUGUGUAUCAUUUUAGUAGCUGAAUACUGAGUCAUCAAGGACAGUGCCGGCGUUAUACAGGCGACCCCAAGUCUAUAUGUGCACUGCUUUUGAAAUCCCAAAGAGUUGAGAGAAAAAUGUUUUAACUAAAAAGAAGGGAUCAUAAGAGAGUUUUGCAAGACUAGGUUUUAAUGUAUCUUAAAAUACGUGUAUACAACACGUAACUAAGAAAAAACAUCUUAAGUUAAUUUAUCUUAAAAGAACUUGAUAAACUUAAAUAUUGCCUAAGGGCACUGUACGUGGUAAAGCCAGCACUGAUCAAGGGCUGACGAGUGUUAUCGACAAACUAAAGACAUACGUGAUGGUUACACUAAGGCUUUGGUUUCGGAGAAGUGAACAUAACAACUCCAUUGAUAAGAGCACGUGGUGAGACGUUAAAAGUCAAAUUGCAAGUUAGACAAUUCGAUUUGAGCGAGCAAGUACAGCUAACAUUUAGCUGCACAUCGCGUUUAUGUGUAAAUGUCAUUUUUUUUUAAAUCAUCUUUGUUUUUAAUAUGUAACGAAACUUCAAGUGUUUUUAAAUAAAACAUCGCCAUAAAAAUAAAUUAUCCGAAGCGUUCGUGUAUUUUUGUACUGUUACAUCAUGAAUCUCGUGAAAAAAAAUUUCUUCGUCACAUUAAUUAUUUUACUGGCGAUUGCAGUUACAAAAAUAUCGGCUUCAUCCAGUAGUAGCAACUUACAACUCGAUCU